CACGUAGGGCGCAAGCGUUGUCCGGAAUUAUUGGGCGUAAAGAGCUCGUAGGCGGUCUGUUGCGUCCGCUGUGAAAACUCGGGGCUUAACCCCGAGCCUGCAGUGGAUACGGGCAGACUAGAGGUAGGUAGGGGAGAAUGGAAUUCCCGGUGUAGCGGUGAAAUGCGCAGAUAUCGGGAGGAACACCGGUGGCGAAGGCGGCCAACUGGUCCGAUACUGACGCUGAGGUGCGAAAGCGUGGGGAGCAAACAGG
rnacentral:rRNA from 1 species